rfam:Arabis alpina cultivar Pajares Aa.chr5_contig_1660, whole genome shotgun sequence.
ACUCCAUGAUGAGGACAAAACCUAGUAUAACCUUUCAAUCUUUCCCAAGCCUUAUAGAGAGCUUCAUCUAGACCUUUUUGAAGCUUGUAAUAUCGUUUCUAAUAUG